UGUUGAUAUAACUGUAUAUCAAUACGGAAAAAUUCUUUGUGUUAUAUUAUAAUAUAACACAAAGAAAUACAAAGAAAGAAAUUUUCCGACGUUUCCGUGUUGACAUUGAGUUAUUGGCUGUUAGCCAAUCAGCGUUCAGAAUUUACAAAUGCUAUAUUAUAAAGUUGUUUACUAAUUAAUUACAAAUGAUGGCUGCGAAUGGGUGUAUUAUGCUUACGCACGCUUUGGAACAAUUAGUUCUAAAUUAUGCAAAUUCUAGUAACAUUGUAUUCCAAAGGCUUUACAGGUUUUUUGAUGCACCCUGUAUAAGAAAAACUUCUUUUAAGGAAAUUAUUCUUGGUUUAGGUAAAGAUAGUUUAACAUAGCCUCCUCCGCAGGCAUCUCGUUCACGUACGUCAGAAAGUCUUUUUUUGCCUGCAAGCAAAUUUUGCCCGAUAAUCUAAAGGCGAUGCCUGCGGAGGAGGCUAAGUUUAACAUUAUUAUUCCUUAGAGAAUAAUUACUAUUUUCACACUUCGUGAAGAAAUUGUGCACAUAAUCAGGUAGUCUGUUAAUUAGUUAAAGCUUAAACGUCAUGAUAGUUUCUCUUUUCUUUAAACCGGAACCUCGUAUGAUUGUCCUGUGAUAACCUGACUAGCUUCUCUUUGUUUGCUUCGUUAGAUGAAAAAAAUCGAUGAAAAAUCACGCCGCAUUGUCGAAUUACGUUCGAG